UACGAAGGGGGCUAGCGUUGUUCGGAAUUACUGGGCGUAAAGGGUGCGUAGGUGGUUUUUUAAGUCCGUUGUGAAAUCCCUGGGCUCAACCUGGGAAUGGCAGUGGAUACUGGAAAGCUAGAGUGCGGUAGAGGGUAGUGGAAUUCCCGGUGUAGCAGUGAAAAUGCGUAGAGAUCGGGAGGAACACCAGUGGCGAAGGCGGCUACCUGGACCAGCACUGACACU
rnacentral:rRNA from 1 species